CCAUCCUGUUUUAAAAUGUUGCCUCUAAAUAGAGAAAAUAUAACCGAAUUGGUGACUGGUUUCGAGGUAAUUGGAUUCCCACAAUGCUUAGGAGCAAUUGACGGAUGCCACAUUGAGAUUCAUCCAUCAUCUGACGAAGCUGUUGAUUAUUAUAAUUAUAAAGGAUGGUAUUCCACCGUUUUAAUGGCAUUAGUUGAUGCUAAAUACCGUUUUACUUACAUAAACGUAGGAAAUUCCGGGCGAUGUAAUGACUCUCAAAUUUAUGAGACGUCAUCACUUAAAAAAGAAAUGGAUAGUUGUCCUUUACUAAGCGAAAUGUCUAGAGAAAUUUCAGGCGUAAAAGUGCCAGUAUUCAUUAUUGGGGAUUCGGCUUUUCGAUUUAGCAAACAACCAAUGAAACCGUAUAAUAUUUAGCGUAUCACAAUUUUUGCGUCCUUCACAAUUUUUUAAAUGAUAACAACGACACGCUAAACGCUAAAUGGUUACGCGCUUUGGAAGAGUUGGAGACUAGACACCAGAAUCCGUGUGAUAUUUCAUAUGCAUCCGACGACCCAAUUAAUGGAGAAAUGAUUCGGACAGCACUUUGUACAUAUUUUGCAUCACUCGGCUCGGGAGACGGUACUGGUAGCGAAGAAGUAUCGCUUGGCGACAUCGGCAUAGCUGAGGGCGAUGGUAGGCAAACCGGUGAUGA